rnacentral:rRNA from 1 species
CCUACGGGAGGCAGCAGUGGGGGAUAUUGCACAAUGGGGGAAACCCUGAUGCAGCGACGCCGCGUGGGCGAAGAAGUAUUUCGGUAUGUAAAGCUCUAUCAGCAGGGAAGAAGAAAUGACGGUACCUGAGUAAGAAGCACCGGCUAAAUACGUGCCAGCAGCCGCGGUAAUACGUAUGGUGCAAGCGUUAUCCGGAUUUACGGGGGGUAAAGGGAGCGCAGGCGGCACGGCAAGCCUGAUGUGAAAGACCGCGGCCGAACCGCGGGACUGCAUUGGGAACUAGCGGGCUGGAGUGCCGGAGAGGUAGGCGGAAUUCCGAGUGUAGCGGUGAAAUGCGUAGAUAUUAGGAGGAACACCAGUGGCGAAGGCGGCCUACUGGACGGUGACUGACGCUGAGGCUCGAAAGCGUGGGGAGCAAACAGGAUUAGAUACCCGAGUAGUC